rnacentral:rRNA from 1 species
CCCAGAUCGUUUACCGUGAAAAAAUUAGAGUGUUCAAAGCAGGCAGAUCCAAUUUUCUGCCACCGAAUACAUUAGCAUGGGAUAAUGGAAUAGGACCCUGUCCUCCUAUUUUCAGUUGGUUUUGGCAGCGCGAGGACUAGGGUAAUGAUUAAUAGGGAUAGUUGGGGGCAUUAAUAUUUAAUUGUCAGAGGUGAAAUUCUUGGAUUUAUGAAAGAUUAACUUCUGCGAAAGCAUCUGCCAAGGAUGUUUUCAUUAAUCAAGAACGAAAGUUAGGGGAUCGAAGACGAUCAGAUACCGUCGUAGUCUUAACCAUAAACGAUGCCGACCAGCGAUUAGGAGACGUUGAAUACAAAACACCACCAUCGGUGCGGUCAUCCUUGGCGUUGGUCUUCAAAAGCCAGCGCGGGGGUGGCUUAGCCCGGUGGCACCGGUGAAUGACUCCCCUAGCAGCUUGUGAGA